rnacentral:rRNA from 1 species
GACGGAGGAUGCAAGCGUUAUCCGGAAUUAUUGGGCGUAAAGCGUCCGUAGGCGGCUAAUCAAGUCUGCUGUCAAAGGCUACAGCUUAACUGUAGGAAGGCAGUGGAAACUGAAUAGCUAGAGUGUGGUAGGGGUAGAGGGAAUUCCCAGUGUAGCGGUGAAAUGCGUAGAUAUUGGGAAGAACACCAGUGGCGAAGGCGCUCUACUGGGCCAACACUGACGAUGAGGGACGAAAGCUAGGGGAGCGAAAGGG